rnacentral:misc_RNA from 1 species
AACUGAUACUACCUGCGGGAACCUGCGGAAGGAUCAUUACCGAGUUUACAACUCCCAAACCCCAAUGUGAACAUUACCUUUACUGUUGCUUCGGCGGGAUCGCCCCGGGCGCGGCCGAGAGGCCCAGCCCCGGAUCCAACGUGCGCCCGCCGGAGGACCCCAGACUCCAUGUUUCUUGCAAGGUAUUUCUGAGCUGCUCCUAGCGAGCAAAACAAAAAAUGAAUCAAAACUUUUAGCAAU